GUGGAACGUAAAUGAAAAAAAAAUCAAAAACCUAUACUUGUGGAACACAUACAUCUGGAUUGGUUCAGAGCUGGUAGGGCCGUUGCUCGGGUCGGAGGGCUUGACUCGGGAAAUCAUGAGGGGUUCCUUAGGGUAGCGGGAUUGGCCGGGUCUUGGUGGAGAGCGGCGUAAAGCUAUCGUCAAUCUACUUUGGGCGUCUCUACAUGUUAGACAUGCACAGGUGCCCCAUGGGGCGGCUCAUCGUCGCAACCGUUCUGUCGCGCACUACUUCCAGGAGAAAGGAAGCUCUCAUCAUUAGUCGUGUUCUUAAGGUGCGCCGUUCUUUCUGGGUCAGUGGCUUCAAGGGUAGUGGGGUCUUUGGAGCCAUUGAUGUGUCUUAUUGGAGUAGCUUGCCCCCGGUUUAUUGCUGAAUCUUGCUCAUAGGCCCUCGUUGACAAGGCAGGCCCCAGCAGCCCUUGUACUGUAU
rnacentral:lncRNA from 1 species